ACUAGGUCAACAGGAGAGAGUGUCUUUUUCCUCUGAAGCAGCCCACUUCCUCCUACCCCUGCUCACCUUGGUUUAAUCUCAAAGGACUCGUUAUCUUCACACAGACCAAUGGAAGGAAACGUGUGAUAUUGCCAUUGUUAAUCUGGGGACCUAAAGUUGAGCUCAAGGAAAAAGUGAGCACACUACCAGGAAAAGGGCGGAAGAGUAAGUGUGUAUAACUAUUUUUACUAUAUCAUUUGUGUUUUUUUAUAUAUAUAGCAAUUGGAUC
rnacentral:lncRNA from 1 species